rnacentral:rRNA from 1 species
AGUGAACGCUGGCGGCGUGCCUAAUACAUGCAAGUCGAACGGACAAGUAAGAGCUUGCUCUUAUGAGUUAGUGGCGCACGGGUGAGUAAUGUAUAGCUAAUCUGCCCUACACUAGAGGACAACAGUUGGAAACGACUGCUAAUACUCUAUACACCUCUCUAGCAUAAGUUAGAUAGGGAAAGUUUUUCGGUGUAGGAUGAGGCUAUAUUGUAUCAGCUAGUUGGUGAGGUAAUGGCUCACCAAGGCUAUGACGCAUAACUGGUCUGAGAGGAUGAUCAGUCACACUGGAACUGAGACACGGUCCAGACUCCUACGGGAGGCAGCAGUAGGGAAUAUUGCUCAAUGGGGGAAACCCUGAAGCAGCAACGCCGCGUGGAGGAUGACACUUUUCGGAGCGUAAACUCCUUUUGUUAGGGAAGAACAAUGACGGUACCUAACGAAUAAGCACCGGCUAACUCCGUGCCAGCAGCCGCGGUAAUACGGAGGGUGCAAGCGUUACUCGGAAUCACUGGGCGUAAAGGACGCGUAGGCGGAUUAUCAAGUCUCUUGUGAAAUCCUAUGGCUUAACCAUAGAACUGCUUGGGAAACUGAUAAUCUAGAGUGAGGGAGAGGCAGAUGGAAUUGGUGGUGUAGGGGGUAAAAUCCGUAGAGAUCACCAGGAAUACCCAUUGCGAUGGCGAUCUGCUGGAACUCAACUGACGCUCAUGCGUGAAAGCGUGGGGAGCAAACAGG